rnacentral:rRNA from 1 species
CCAGCAGCCGCGGUAAUUCCAGCUCCAAUAGCGUAUAUUAAAGUUGUUGCGGUUAAAAAGCUCGUAGUUGGAUUUUGGGUUCACUUCCGGCGGGCCGGUGAAAGCCGCGAACUGCUAGAAUGGACCUUCUGUCUGGAAGGCGGUCGCUUCCUAUUCGCUUAGUGGCGGCCGCAGUCUAGGACUUUUACUUUGAACAAAUUGUAGUGUUUAAAGCAGGCAAACGUCUUGAACACAUUAGCAUGGAAUAACCGAAUAGGGCUUUGGCUCUAUUUUGUUGGUUUUAAGGGCCGAAGUAAUGAUUAAUAGGGACAGUUGGGGGCAUUCGUAUUUAAUUGUCAGAGGUGAAAUUCUUAGAUUUAUGAAAGACGAACUUCUGCGAAAGCAUUUGCCAAGGAUGUUUUCAUUAAUCAAG